rnacentral:rRNA from 1 species
UACGGAGGAUCCAAGCGUUAUCCGGAAUUACUGGGCGUAAAGGGUGCGUAGGCGGUUCGUUAAGUCUGUCGUGAAAUCCCCGGGCUCAACCUGGGAAUGGCGAUGGAUACUGGCGAGCUAGAGUGUGUCAGAGGAUGGUGGAAUUCCCGGUGUAGCGGUGAAAUGCGUAGAGAUCGGGAGGAACAUCAGUGGCGAAGGCGGCCAUCUGGGACAACACUGACGCUGAAGCACGAAAGCGUGGGGAGCAAACAGG